UAUAAAAAGCCUAAGGACUAGCAACAUUCUGGCCAACAAUCUGCAAGAUGUCUGUGAUCACGGAGAUGAUUGCCAUUGGUGGGCUGCUCAUCGUCUGCCUGGUGCAAAGUUGCCUUGCACAAAGGUCUUCUGAGAAUACAAUUUCAUUUGCACUCUGCCAUAAAACCACAUAUGUACAUAACUUCCAGUCCCAAGACGUCAUGGCAAGAACACUGAACAACUCAAGUGGACAAAGCCAGCCAACUGGUCAUUCCAGAAAGAUCCAGGCUUUCUUUCUUUUUCUUUUUCUUUUUUUUCUUUUUGUAAUUAUAAUUUAUUCCAUUUGGAACCCAGCUGUGGACCACUCCCUCAUUCCCUCCUAAUCCCACCCUCCCUCCUUCAUCUCCUCCCAUGUCCUUUCCCUGUCCACUGAUAGUGGAGGACCUCCUCCCCUUCCAUCUGGGAUACCUCACUCAGGAUGAUCUUUUCUAGUUCUCACCAUUUGCCUGCAAAUUUCAUGAUUUCCUUGUUUUUAAUUGCUGAGUAGUAUUCCAUUGUGUAAAUGUACCACAGUUUCUGUAUCCAAUCCUCAGUUGAGGGACAUCUGGGUUGUUUCCUGA